CGGGGCGCCCCUCCCCCCGCCCCGGGCGCGUCCCCAUGGCAACGCGGGGGCUUCGCGCUCCCGCCUCCCGGGCCGCAGACAGGAAGCCGUCGCGCCGGGGGCUUCUGGGAAACGGCUGAGAGCGGCGUCUCUGCGUCGGCCGCGGACAGCGAAGCCGCUGCGGUGCCCGAGCCCCAGGAUUGCCUGUGAAGAAAACGAGGUAUCUCCCUGAGGCCUCUAUUCUGCCUGCCUCGAUUGUCUUUUCGUGAAGCAUUAAAAUCAGGAUGUCUACACAGUCAGGGGAAGAAGAUUCGAUACUUACCAUCCCAACUCCAGAAGAGGAGGAAAAAAUUCUGAGAGUGAAGUUGGAGGAGGAUCCUGAUGGUGAAGAGGGAUCGAGCAUCCCCUGGAGCCAUCUCCCCGACCCGGAGGUCUUCCGACAGCGGUUCCGGAAGUUCGGCUACCAGGACUCCCCCGGGCCCCGCGAGGCUGUCAGCCAGCUUCGAGAACUUUGCCGCCUGUGGCUCAGGCCCGAGACACACACGAAGGAACAAAUCCUGGAGCUGGUCGUGCUGGAGCAGUUUGUGGCCAUCCUCCCCAAGGAGCUGCAGACUUGGGUUCGCGAGCAUCACCCAGAGAAUGGAGAGGAGGCGGUGGCGGUGCUGGAGGAUUUAGAGAGUGAACUGGAUGACCCUGGACAGCCGGUUUCUCUCUGCCGGCGGAAGCGGGAGGUGCUGGUAGAGGAGAUUGCAUCUCAAGAAGAAGCGCAGGGAUUACCGAGUUCGGAGCUCGAUGCUGUGGAAAACCAGCUCAAGUGGGCGUCCUGGGAGCUGCACUCCCUCAGGCACUGCGACAAACACAUUAGGUUUGUGUUGAUCAUGGAAUCUUCUUUGCAAGGAUACAUUCCCUUCCCUUCUCCAUUAAAGGGCAACAUAGGGAUUAUGAAGUCUGAAAACCGAAACCAUCUUUUCAAAAUUUACUCUUCUGUUUUUUGUUUUUACCCAAUUUGGAUAUGCAUUUCAGAAAAUAGAAGAUAAAAGAUGACUAAAGCUUCAAAGUAAAAUUAGAAGUGAUGGUGAUAAAACAUCAAAAAGUGAAUGGGAUGCCUAGAUUGGGAAAGAUGUAAAAAUAUUUGGAUCCCAAGAAUUGAAGUGUAUCAAGAAUUUAUCUAGAUGUAAUUAUCUGCCUGUAGGAAAAUAAAAGUGCUGCAUCCUGUCUGUAACUUGGAGGCAUCCCACUAAUGAAAAUAAUGUUCUCUGUAUCAUUAGAAAGUGGACAGUCUAAACAAGAAUCAUAAACUAUGAAAGUAGAAAAAACACUAGAGCAUUUGCAGUCAAUGACAGUAUUGAAGGGCAAAUGUGAAGGUAAUAGUCCAUCUUGGCUUUUAGAAGAUCCAAUUCAUUAUUAUUUUGCCUUCGUUUUUGUUAAGGAUAGAAAAAAUCCCUGACCAGAGCCCUUAUUUAUUGCGGGGAACCCAUUCCCUAUGGCUUAGCUGAACACAUGACCAGGUCUGGCCUCCCUGAGUUCUGCAGCUCCUUACCGUAGCCGCAGUGAUGAAAGCAUAGGUGUGUAACUCAAGCCAGGCUACAGAGAGCUCUCAGCAAACUGCGGAAACGAUUGGCAACACGGCUCACGGAGAUCCCAGGAACUAAGGACUGUGUGUGUACCAUGUGGGGAGAGUGAGAAGCUCAGAGGCUAGCAGAAAGGACAGAGAACUGAGUUCUGAUGUCAUUUUUCUGGAGGCCCUCGAUCCAGCUGUGCCUAAAGCCUGCCCUACCUCCGGACUUUAACGUUUUGUGAGCCAAUAAAGUCCCUUUCCUGUUUAAGAUAAUUGAAUUGGGUUUCUGUCCUGAUUAAUAUAGGUUAUUUGUAUUUUCUUAUUGAUUUGUAGAAACCUCUGUAAUUUUAAAUUCUAGACUUACACUUUAUGCACUAUAUAGGUUAAUAAAAUUAGCAUGGCCUUCCAUGAUUUGGCCUCUGUCAA